CCUACGGGAGGCAGCAGUGAGGAAUAUUGGUCAAUGGCCGGAAGGCUGAACCAGCCAUGCCGCGUGCAGGUCAGUGCCCUUUGGGCGUUAAACUUCUUUUGUGCGGGAGCAAUACUGGUCACGUGUGGCCAGACGAGAGUUCCGUACGAAUAAGCAUCGGCUAACUCCGUGCCAGCAGCCGCGGUAAUACGGGGGGUGCAAGCGGUAUCCGGCAUUAUUGGGUGGAAAGGGUGCGUAGGCUGUGAGGUAAGUCAGCGGUGAAAUGCCCCGGCUCAACGGGGUGAAGUGCCAUUGAUACUGCCUGGCUGGAAUGCGGAGGCGGUGGGAGGAAUGUGUGGUGUAGCGGUGAAAUGCAUAGAUAUCACACAGAACACCGAUUGCGAAGGCAUCUCACGAAUCCGCGAUUGACGCUGAUGCACGAAAGCGUGGGUAGCAAACAGGAUUAGAUACCCGGGUAGUC
rnacentral:rRNA from 1 species